rnacentral:rRNA from 1 species
GAUCAGCUCAGGACGAACGCUGGCGGCGUGCCUAAUACAUGCAAGUAGAACGCACAGUUUAUACCGUAGCUUGCUACACCAUAGACUGUGAGUUGCGAACGGGUGAGUAACGCGUAGGUAACCUGCCUGGUAGCGGGGGAUAACUAUUGGAAACGAUAGCUAAUACCGCAUAAUAUUAAUUAUUGCAUGAUAAUUAAUUGAAAGGUGCAAUUGCACCACUACCAGAUGG